UCUCCUCCGUGCAGCUCCUCUGUCAGCUCCGUUCUUCUCCCAGUGUAAGUCUCGCGAGACUUACACUGUAAGCAGAACGGAGCUGACAGAGGAGCUGCUUGUUGCCUGGUCAGGGAGGGGGGACAAAACAUUUUUUUUUUUUUUAAAUAA